CUUUAUUGGAGAGUUUGAUCCUGGCUCAGGAUGAACGCUGGCGGCGUGCCUAAUACAUGCAAGUCGAGCGAAUGGAUUAAGAGCUUGCUCUUAUGAAGUUAGCGGCGGACGGGUGAGUAACACGUGGGUAACCUGCCCAUAAGACUGGGAUAACUCCGGGAAACCGGG
rnacentral:rRNA from 3 species